rnacentral:rRNA from 1 species
CGGGGAAUAUUGGACAAUGGGCGCAAGCCUGAUCCAGCCAUACCGCGUGGGUGAAGAAGGCCUUCGGGUUGUAAAGCCCUUUUGUUGGGAAAGAAAUCCAGCUGGCUAAUACCCGGUUGGGAUGACGGUACCCAAAGAAUAAGCACCGGCUAACUUCGUGCCAGCAGCCGCGGUAAUACGAAGGGUGCAAGCGUUACUCGGAAUUACUGGGCGUAAAGCGUGCGUAGGUGGUCGUUUAAGUCCGUUGUGAAAGCCCUGGGCUCAACCUGGGAACUGCAGUGGAUACUGGGCGACUAGAGUGUGGUAGAGGGUAGCGGAAUUCCUGGUGUAGCAGUGAAAUGCGUAGAGAUCAGGAGGAACAUCCAUGGCGAAGGCAGCUACCUGGACCAACACUGACACUGAGGCACGAAAGCGUGGGGAGCAAACAG